UCAGCUUGCUUUUAUGUAGUCUCUAAACUUCUACCCCUUAUUUUACCAAUAUAGAUUAAUAAAGAUUUGUGUCUAAUCUGUGGCUAAAUUAUGCAGAGAAUGGAACGCACUUCAGAAAUCUGCACACAGGUUUUUCUUUCUUCCUUUCUUUUUUGUUCCAAUAAGAGAGAUCUGCUGAAAAAUACUGAGGAAAUACAAGGUUGCUGCUAGAUCAGAUGAUGCCUUUAUGCACAUGGAUCUGAAUAGCUAGGUGGGGUCAAAGGUCAAGAGAUAGAGGGUCUUAUUAUUACAAAAUAAAGGUGUUCCUUUCCUAUGGUGGGAUGUGGCCUUGUGUCAAAGUUGAUGGGUUAACUAGGGAUGUAUUCAGCCUUGGCUCAUCCUCUCCGUGAGGAGACUCUUUUGUGCAGUGAGCAACCUGUAUCAUCACAUAUGGCAGCACUUAGGGAGUGCAGCUUGAGUAGGGUUUUUUCUACUUUGAUGUUCUGCCUUUGCUGGGGAAACCAUCUCAAGUCACACAGAACAAGACUGUCCUGGGGCAUCGGUGUCUUAGACAGUAGUUUCUGAACCAGGAGUCUCUGCAGGCAUAAUUAAAUUAAAGGUCUGAUCAUCCAGGUCCACUUGGGUCGGCCCUUCACACACUAACAAGGUUCUAGAAAACAGACAGCCAGAGGAAAAGGCAAUGUGAAGACAGAAAAUGGAAUGGUAUGGGCACAAGUCAAGGAAGGGAAAGAAUGCUGGCCACCACCAGAAGGUGACGUAGGCAAGAAGAUUCUCCUCUAAGUUCUCUGGAGGGAGUAUGGCUCAGCUGACACUAUGAUUGUAGACUUCUGGCCUCCAGAAUCAUGAGAGAAUAACUUUUUUUGUUCCAUGACACCUAGUUUGUGGUGUUUUGUUACAGCAUCUGGAGGAAACUAACCCAAAGACCCACAACUGAAAGCCUACACUUUCACUAUCCAGAGAAAGGAUAUUAGACAAAAAUGAAUUUACAAAAUUCACUCAUCAAUAAGAAGCAUUUAUAAUUUCUACUGUUAUAAAAUAAUAUCUAAAGAAUUAUGACUACCAGGCUUCUAUACAGUCAUAUAAGUACUCCACUAUAGCACUGAAACUAAAAUAUGUGUUUCUGAAUUAAUAAGAAUGAUUUAUUAAAUAUCAACAAAAUACUAAAUUAAUAAUAUUUAAGCCUUAAAGAUACAGCUUUGGAAUUGUAUUUUAAUUACGUUCAUAAAUGGAAGUGACAUAUUAGUAAGAUUUAUAGGAGGGUUCAAGAUGGCUGAAUCAACAGAAGCUGCACUGACUUCAGCCACAGAAGCAUAUGAGAAAAACCAAGGAAGGACCAUGAUUCUCGGGGAAUGACUGACAGAAACUGUCAUUGGAGAAUGAUAGAACAGAACAGAGACUCUAGGGGACAGUGAGGACAGUAAAUAGGCAUGCUACAAAGCAUUAUCCCUGCCGACUUUAACUCCAGUUAGGUAGCUGACUGGUACUGAGUGACUGCUUGGCUCUGAGAAGGGAAACCACAUUGACUCCCUCCCCUCCCCAAUCCCCACAAAGUUUGGAGCUGUGUAGAGUCUCACAGCUGAUCUCUAUUCCACUGCUGCCAGAAGCUAUCAGAAUCAGAGUCAGGGUAAUAUGCAGGGCACACAGCCUACCCCCUGCAUGCUAUAACUGUGGAGUCUUGGGCAUAAGCCCCAGAGCUACAACCAUUCACUCUGUGUGAUCCCUGGAGGUUACCCCAGCUUCUUGAUGCUCUAGCACUAGCAGAAGCUACAAAAAUUCCAGACCCAACCUGAGAAAGUUUCCUCUGUAUCUCUAGAACACACUUCUCCUCCACACUGGGGAAUUUGAACAAUGACCCCACUGUACCCUGCAACACCAGAACUGUAACAAUCAGUACUAAUUUCCACAAACUCACUGGAAUCUAUCCAUAGGACCUAGGGAAGAACCUAUCUGCAUUCCACCUCUUUGAACCUAUAUCUGACAGUGCAAAAUCUCCUGCUGUAUCUUGUAGUAACCCUACAGGAAUGGAGAGGGGAUCAGUUCAUAUCCCCUAGACCUGGGACCAGGGCUGUUGGUGCUAUAAGUCCUAGCACCAGUUGCAGUCUCUCAGAAGGCCCAUUCACAUCACGCAAUCCUAGAUCCACAGUUAGUGGUGCCAAAAGCAUCUCUCAGGCUUGCUAGUGGUACAAGGGGACAGCCCCCUGUGUGCCUUUCAGCACAAAGACUGAGGCCCUCUACAGGGACUGAAGAUACACACCCUAGGAAACCCACAUUCACCUCAAAGUCAUACUUCUAUCCAUAUGAACUGCAGCAGAAUACACCACUCUGUCACUUAUGGAAACAGUUGACAUUGAUUAAAGUAAAAGAACACUCAGAGGUUAUACUUCUGGGAUCAUCUAGAACCCAUGCAAAAACAUAAAACCAAGUGAUACCUUGUAUUCCAUCUAAAACAUAAACUCUUUUCCAAUAAAACCUAUUUCAUAGAGAAGGGAUAUUUCACUAAAUGCAGAGACAUCAACAUAGGCUCACAGGAAAAACGAAGAAGCAAGGUAGCAUGACACCUCCAUAAAACACAACAGACCUCCAGAAUUAGACCCUGAUCAGAAGGAAAUCUAUGAAAUAUCAGAAAUAGAAUUCAAAAUAAUAUUGCAAGGAAACUUAAUAUCUACAAAUAGACAGCUAAAAGAAAUGAGGAAAUCAAUGGGUGACACAAAUUAAAUUCACUAAGGACACAUAUCAUUAAGACUGACAGUCAUAUGUUAUAUGACUGACAGCUUCAACAAAAGAAUAGACCAAGUGGAGGAAAGAAUUUCUGAACUGGAGGGCAAGACUUCUAAAAUAACCCAAUUACAGAAAAAUAAACAAAAAAAGAAUAAAAAAAUGAAAAAAGUCUUUGUGAAAUAUGGGAUAUCCUCAAAUGACCAAAUAGAGUGUUAUGUGGACUCCUGUAGGAGACAAGAAGGACAAAUGCAUUGAAAAUAUGCUAAACAAAAUAAUAGUUGAAAAUUUCCCACGUCUUGAAAGAGACAUGACACCCAGAUUCAAAAAGCUCAAAGAACCUCAAGCGGACUCAAUCAAAAAAGAUCUUCUUGAAGGCAUUUUGUAGUCAAAUUGUGAAAAGUUAGUGACAAAAAAAGAUUCCUAAAGACAGCAAGAGAAAUGAAUUAAGUUACAUAUAAAGGAAAACUAAUUAAACUAAUAGCAGACUUCUUAGCAGAAACCCUUACUGGUCAGAACAGAGUGGGAUGAUAUACUCAAGAUCCUAAAAGAAAAAUACUUUAAACCAAAUAUUUUAUAUCCAUCAAAACUAUCCUUUAUAAAUGAAGGAGAAAUAGGUAUUUUUCAGGUAAGAAAAAACUAAGAAAAUUCACUACCAGAGCAGCAUUAAAAGAAACUCUGAAGGGAGUCCUACAUCAGAAAUUAAUAUGAAAACACAUGACACUACUAAAUUCAUUAACAAAGCAAAUAUAAUCAGUGACCAAUCAACAAAAUGACAGGUGUUAGUUCCUUUCUAUCAAUACUAACCUUUAAUGUAAAUGGAUUAAAUACCUAAGACUUAGUUUGGCUGCAUGGAUAGCCAACAAAGACCCUACCAUAUGUUGCCCAUAAGAAACUCAUUUCAUAAAUAAAGAUGCACACAGACUUAAAGUGAAGAGUUAGAAAAAGAGAUACCAGGCAAAUGGAAACCAAAAACAUAUAGGAGUAGCUAUCUUCAAAGAAAAUAAAAUAGACUUUAAAUAAAAAACUUCAAAAUAGAGUCAAAGAAGGACAUUAUACAUUGAUAAAAAUUCAGCAAGAGAUAUAACAAUAAUAAAUAUAUAUGCAACCAACACAAGACUACACAGAAAUAUGAGAUAAAUACUACUAGAGAUAAAGGGAGAGAUAGACUCCAGGAUGGUAAUAAUAGAAAGUUCAGCAUCCCACUCUUUUUUUUUUUUUUUUUUGGACAGGCAGAGUUAUACAGUGAGAGAGAGACAGAGAGAAAGGUCUUCCUUCCGUUGGUUCACCCCCAAAAUGGCCACUACAGCCAGUGCGCUGCGCCAAUCCGAAGCCAGGAGCCAGGUGCUUCCUCCUGGUCUCCCAUGGGGGUGUAGGGCCUAAGCACUUGGGCCAUCCUCCACUGGCUUCCCAGGCCACAGCAGAGAGCUGGACUGGAAGAGGAGCAACUGAGACAGAAUCCGGUGCCCCGACUGGGACUAGAACCCAAGGUGCCGGUGCUGUAGGCAGAAGAUUAGCCUAGUGAGCUGCGGCACCAGCCAUCAACAUCCCACUCUUAUCAAUGGACAGAUCAUCCAGGCAGAAAAUCAGCAAAGGUACAUCUGAGUUGAACAAUAUUAUUGAGUAAAAGGAUUUAAGGGACAUUUACAGGACAUUUCAGAAUAUAUAUCCCUCUCAUCAGUAUGUAAUAUGUGAUAGAGCACAUAUUAGACCACAAAUUAAGUCUCAUCAAAUUUAAAAAUAUUGAAAUCAUGCCAUGUAUCUCUUCAGUCCAGAAAGUAAUAAAACUAGAAAUCAACAAGAAGAACAAUACAACGUUCAUAAAAACAUGGAAAUUAAGUAACUUGUGUUGAAUGAUCUGUGGGUCAUUUAAGAAAUUAAAAAGGAAAUCAACCAACUUUCUUGAAAUAAGUGAAAAUGAAAGCACAAUAUAUCAAAACUUGUGGGUUACAGCUAAAGCAGUAUUAAGAAGGAAGUUAAUAGCAUUAAGCGAUUACAUUAAAAAGGGAAAUGUCUCAAAUAAAUGAUCUAAUGAUGCAUCUCAAAGACUCAGAAAAACAAAAACAUACUCCACCAGAAAUCAGCAGGUGGUGAGAAAUAAUAAGGAGCAGAGCAGAAAUAAAUGAAACAAACUAAAAAAAACACAAAAAUCUACAAAACAAAGGAUUUCUUUGAGAAGACAGACAAAAUAGACAAACUUUUUGACAGAAUAAAAAAAAGAAAAUCAAAUAACUAAAAUUAUUUAUGAAAAAAGGGACAUUACUAUGACACCACUGAAAUAUAAAAGAUCAUAAGAAACAACCAUGAAAAAUUAAAUGCUAGAUUAAAUUAAAUUAAAUACUAGAAAUCCUCAAAGAAAUGCAAAAGUUUCUGAAUAUACAUAACUGACUAAGAUUAAAUCAAGAAGAUAUAGAAAAUCUAAGCAGAACCAGAGUAAGCAACAAUAUUGAAGAAGUAAUUAAAAGUUUCUAUCAGCAAAGUCCAGGACCUGAGGACUUUACUACUGAAUUCUAAAAAACAUUUAAAGAGAAACUAAUUCUAAUAUAUUUUUUUAAGAUUUUAUUUAUUUAUUUGACAGGUAGAGUUACAGACAGUGAGAGGGAGAGACAAAGAAAGGUCUUCCAUCUGCUGGUUCACUCCCCAAAAGGCCGCAACUGUUGGAGUUGGGCCAAUCCAAAGCCAGGAGGCAGGAGCCAGGAGCCAGGAGCUUCUUCUGGGUCUCCCAUGUAGGUUCAGGGGCCCAAGUGCUUGGGCCAUCUUCCACUGCUUUCCCAGGCCAUAGCAGAGAGCUGAAUCAGAAGAGGAGCAGCCUGGACUAGAGCUGGCGCCCAUUUGGGAUGCCAGUGCCACAGGCAGAGGAUUAACCUACUGUGCCACAGUGUUAGCCCACAAUAUUUUUCAAAUUAUUCCAAAAUAUUGAAUAGCAUGGAACUCUGCAAAAGACUUUUCAUUAGGCUAGCAUCACUCUUUUUAACAAACCAAAUAAAUACAAACACAAAAAAAAACUACAAAUGGAUAUACUUGAUCCACAUGGAUACAAAAAUUCUCAAAAUACUAGUGAAUCAAAAAGAUCAGCAUCAUGAUCAAGUGGGAUUUAUCCCAGCAAUGCAGGCAAAAUUCAACAUUUGCAAAUCAAUAAAUGUCAUAUACCACAUUAACAGAAUGAAAAACAAAACCCAUAUGCUCACCUCAACAGAUGCAGAGACAGCAAUGAAUAAGAUUCAAUAUCCCUUUAUAAUAAAAAUUCUCCAUGAAUUAGGUAAAGAACGAAUGUAUCUCAAAACUAUAAAAGUUAUAUAUGGCAAACCAAACAACCAGCCAAUAUUUUACUGAAUGGGAAAAAACUGAAAGCAUUUUCCCUCAGAUCUGACCAAGUCAACGAUGUGCAUGUUUACCACUGUUACUCAAUACAGUAUCGAGAGUAUUAGCAAGAGCAAUUAGGGAGGAGAAAUAAAGUACAUCAAAAUUGGAAAGGAGGGAUUCAAAAUAUCUAUAUUUACAGACGACAUGAUGUUGUACAGAUAAAAACCUAAACACUCCAUCAGAAAUAUUUUAGAACUGAUAAAUUAAUUCAGUAAAUUUGUAGGUUACAAAAUUGAAUACAAAAAAAUUUAGCUUUUUUAUGUGCUAAUGAUGAACUUGCUGAAAGAGAAAUUAAAAAAAAUCCUAUUCACAAUGGCCACUAAAAAUAAAAUAUUUAGGAAUAAAUUUGACCAAAGAAGUGAAAGAUCUCUACAAUGAAAACUACAAAAGAUUGAAAAAAUAAAUCAUCAAACACACAAAAAAAGGCAAAGAUAUUCCUUGGUAAUGGAUUGAGAGAAUUAAUAAAAUUAAAAUGUCCAUACUCCCAAAAGCAUUCUGCAGAUUCAAUGUAAUCCCUACUAAAAUACUAAUGUCAUUCUUUACAGAAUUAGAAACAACUAUCCUAAAAUACAUAUGCAAUUAAAAAAGACCCAGAAUAGCCAAAAUGAUUCUGAGGGAAAAAAAAUCAAGCUGGAGGCAUCACAACAUCUGACUUCAAAGCAUACUGCAAACCUAUAGUAAUUAAAACAGCAUGCUACUGAAAUAAAAACUGACAUAGAGAUCAUUGGAAUAGAAUAGAAAGCCCAGAAAUUAAUCCACAUACAUACAGUCAACUGGUUCUUGACAAAGGUGUUUUGACUAUACAUUGGAGAAAGGAUACUCACUUCAAUAAGUGGGCUAGCAAAACUGGAUGGAUGUAUGUGGAAGAAAUUAGAAAUUACGUCCUUACCUCCCACUGUAUUUAAAAAUCAGCUCAAGAUGGGUCAAAGACUUUAAACCCUGAUACUAAGAAGUUACUGGAAGAAAAUGUAGGGGGAAUACUUCAAGACAUUUGUGUAGGUGAUGACUUCCUGGAUAAGACCCCAAAGCACAAUAAAGAAAAACAACACUAGACAAAUGAGAUUAUUUCAAACUCAGAUGUUUCUGUACAGCAACCAAAACAAUCACUAUAUCCAACAGAAUGGAAAAAAUAUCUGCAAGCUUCCUGUUUGACAAAAGAUUACUAAACAGAAUAUAUCUGCGAUAAAACUCAACAAGAAAAUAACCAAUCCAGGUAAGUAAUGGGCAAAGAACCUCAAUACACAAUUCUCAAGAGAAGAAACAGAAAUCAACAUCACUAGCCAUUAGGGAAACACAAAUCAAAACCACAAUGAGAUAUCACCACAAUAGCUUUUAUCCAAAAGACAGAAAUUACGAAAUGCUGGGGAAGCUGUGGAGAAAAGGGAACACUUAUAUACUGUGGGAAUAAAAAUUGUUCAACCACUGUGGAAAAUAGUAUGUAUAGUUCUUUAAAAAAAUACAAAUAGACUUGCCAUAGGAUCCAGAAAUUCUACUACUGAGUGUAUAUCCAAAAGACAUGGACGUACUAUAUUAAAAAUAUCUGCACCACAAUAUUUAUAGAUGCACUUUUCACAAUAGCCAAAACAUAUCAUCAACCCAGGUGUCUAGCAUCAGAUGAUAUAUACACACACAUUGGAAUAUUAUUCAGGUAUAAAAAUGAAUGAAAUGCUUCCAUUUGCAUCAAAAUGGAUGCAACUGGAAGAUACCACAUUGAAUGAAAUAACAGACAUAGACAAAUACCGCAUGUUCUUUCUUAUAUGUGGGAGCAAAGAUUAGAAAAGGAAAAAAUGACAAUCAUAUCCCAAAAUGACCAUUCAUUCCUAAACAUUUUUGGCAUUCUAUAUUAACUGCCACAUAUAAGAGGAAAACAUAUGGUGUUUGUCUUUUUGAGAUUGGCUUAUUUUGCCAGCGCCGCGGCUCACUAGGCUAAUCCUCCACCUUGCGGCGCCGGCACACUGGGUUCUAGUCUCGGUCUGGGUGCCGGAUUCUGUCCCGUUUGCCCCUCUUCCAGGCAGCUCUCUGCUGUGGCCAGGGAGUGCAGUGGAGGAUGGCCUGAGUCCUUGGGCCCUGCACUCCAUGGGAGACCAGGAGAAGUACCUGGCUCCUGCCAUCGGAUCAGUGCGGUGCGCCGGCCGCAGUGUGCCAGCUGUGGCGGCCAUUGGAGGGUGAACCAACGGCAAAGGAAGACCUUUCUCUCUGUCUCUCUCUCUCACUAUCCACUCUGCCUGUCAAAAAAAAAAUAAAUUAAAAAAAAUAAUAUACAUUAAAAAGAAAAAAUGUCUGUGGGCAUCAGUAUCACUUCAAAUAGAAUUUUGUUAAAUUCUUCUUAAUAGUUUUCUCAAACCAUUGGUUAAGAAUGAUAAAGCACUACAGUUUUAAUGAUUUGUGAUUAUUUUAACAUGUACUGUAUAUGAGUGCAAUGGACAUCUUUUCACUUGAUUAUUGUUGAUAGUUUUUGCCUAUAUCCCCCUGUUGAAAUAUGAUCUUUUAUUUUUUUACCUGUUAGCCUCUUUAUUUAGUUGAGUAUUAUGUCUUAGAAUACAAUGUAAAUUAAAAAUAUUUCAUCUCAAGAAUUGAAAAAGCAGUGAAGAAACAAAGGAAGAAAAGAAGGAAGGCAGAAAUAAAUGAAGAAUUAGAAAGAAGGAAGGAAGACGGAGGAAGGGAAUUAUUAUAUUCUUAGAACUGUAUCUAUGAAAUACAUUGAAUCUGUUUUCUUUGUGUUACUAUCACAUUAAGAUAAGAAUUGAUGAGAAUUUUAUUGUAGUAAUUUUCUCGCACUUGUUGUGACCCAGAGAAUUUAAUAUAUUAAUAAAUUCCUUAAAAGUAAUAUUUAUAUUUAUACAAUGUAAAUGUUAUCUUAAGAAUUUUAACUAUAAAAUUUCUUUUUGAGUAAUUACAUAUUGACUUUAUAGAAAUAAAACUAAGACAUAAAAAAAUCAAAAUUACUCUAGAAAAGACCAAAAGCAAUAUCUUCUUUUAGUUUGGAUCUUCAGAAGUAGGCUCAUUGGAAGGCUAGAUCAACCCACUUCUAAUUUCUGGCUGAGGUAUAGAAGACAAAAUCCAGUGCUUGGCAGUGAGACAUUUCUUGUUUCCAGUGUAGGUUGUGCUGGAGUAGUAAAAUCAUUUAGCAUGGAGAAUUCUUGGGAAGGUCUGUACUAACUUUCCAGAGGAGGAAAAGGGACAGGAGGUCCCCUUCCCAGAAACUGUCUUUUGGCAUCCUCUAUAGCUCUGGAUCUUUGAAUGAAGGACACAGUAUGAGAAUAGAGUCUGGACCAGCUGCAUUCCAUUCCAUGGGAGCACUGAUUUGUUGCCAGCAGAGGUUGUACUGGGGUAGCAGAAUCAUUUGAUGAGAGAUUCAUGGGAAGGUCUCUACUAGCUUUCUAUGGAAAAAGAGGGACAGGAGGUCCUCUUCUCAAAAACUGUCUCCUGGCAUCUUCUGCAACAUACCAACUCUGACUGACAGAUGCAGUUGCGGUGUAGAGUUGGAAGCAACUGUUUCAAUUCAGGUGGGAGCCUUCAAUCUAGCAAGCUUAAAUUACCAAGAUAAUCUAUGCUUUCAUUUUAUUGGAUUCCAUUUCUGAAGAUGCCUGACCUUUGUGUCAUUAAAAGAAGGCACAGUAAGAAUUAUAAGUUCUGCUAGUUCUGAGAAUCUGGCAACACAUGGAACACCCACAUGAAUUCUGCAUUGCAUGUGUGAAGGAAUCGUUGGAUCAGGAUAGAGUUGGCCUGACGGAGGGAUUCUUUUCCUGUGAUCCGAAUCCCUUGGGGAUGGCAGCUCUGGAUCCUUGAGCCAUUCCAGUUGUAUUAGUUUGCUAGGACUUCCAUAACAGCUUCACAAACAAAGUGCUGAGUGGCUUACACACAAUAAAUUUAUUUUCUUAUAGUUCUGCAUGCUAGAGGUCUGAGAUUAGGAUACAAGCAAAUUUGGUUUCUUCUGAGGCCUAUUGCCUUAGCUUGCAGAUGGUUAUCUCACUGUGUUCUUACAAGGUCUUUCUCUAUGUGUCUAAAUUUCCUUUUCGUGUAAGCACACCAAUUAGGUUGGAUGAGGACCCACUUGAAUGACUUCAUUUCAACUUUAUUAUCUCUUUAGAGGCGCUAUCUCCAAAUAUAGUAAUAUUUUAAAAUGUUGGGUAUUAGUUUUUCAAUAAAUUAUGAAGGUACACAAUUCAGGCAUAGCAGCAGACUGAAGCUCCUCCUUCUUUGGUGAUCUGGUAAUGUGCAGAAUUUGCUAGAUCAUAUGAAUCAAAAACUUAUUUUUAACUUAUAUUAGGUACCAAGAUUCAUGAUACACAAUUUUUUUUCUUUGGAGUACAGAUACCCUGAGCAGAUUACUGAGAUCUUUUACUUCUUUUUCUCUUGGCUUAUUUCAACCAUAAGUAUUAGAUGAGGGCUCUCCACCCUGCUGAAAGUCUUUUUCCUUGUGAGGAUGGAAGAUUGGGGAAUUAACCCCUGGGAAUUGCUCUCAAUCAAUGACUAAGAGAAAUCGGUGUGUCGCUCCCCCACUUCACGGAGGAACGACACUGAACCCUGCGCUGUUCUUUUGUCUGCUUGGCCCUUCCCGGGUUUGCUGCUGGUUCUUCCCGGGUGGGCAACCGUCCCUUCCACCUCCGUGGAAGGGCGGUGCCCCCUGCCACUUUCCCCACUUCCGCGGGGGAGUGGCACACCGCCGGCCGGCUCUCUCGGGGGCUGCUCAGAUGUUCCUCAGGUGUUCCCCUUAGAUGUUCCUGGUGCAUGUUGUCUCUCUCCUCCUUUAUAGUCCUCUUCCACCAAUCCCAACUCUGCUACCCACACGCCAAGCACGCUGCUCUCCUCCAAUCAGGAGCAACUCCUGCA